rnacentral:lncRNA from 1 species
UGAAGCAGUUCAAAGAAAAGGUUGUAAAAUAAUGCCGUAAAAAUCGAAAACCAUGGAUAAAUUAUGAAUGUUUAAAAAUGAUCAAAAAGAAAACGAAACUUUUCAAAAGGUUUUUAAAAACUAGAGACCUAUCAGACCUAAAAACAUUUAAAGAAUUCCGUAACCAAGUAAAUGCGUUUAUUAGGAAAUAAAAAAGAGAUUAUUUAAGUCAACAAUUUGAUCCAGACUGCUGCAAUGGAAAUGCAAACAUCUGGAGGAAGCUUAAUACGUUACUUCACAGGACGCAUAUUUGCUCAAGAAUUACGGAAAUAGAAAUAGAUGGCCAGAUUGUUAAAGAUCUAGAGCUUGCCGAAAAAUUUAACCACUUUCUCAUAAACGUUGUACAGCCAACGCAAAAAUUACAGCCAACGGUA